AGGCCGGCCAUUGGUAAUGUUACAAGUAUAGGCGAUCACAUCACCUUUAUAAAGUACACCACUCAUAAUCUAGAGCAUAUAUGUAUACCGAAAAAUGCUUAACCUACUAACAAUAUAUCUCGCUAAUUACAGCCAUAUUUUUGCUACCCUACCUGUUGUGUAUUGUUUAUAAAAAAAUGUGAAAGUUUUGCUUUUUUAUCAAUAAAUAUAAGAGCGUUUAUAUCUAAAUUACUCAAGUAUUUAAAUGAAUUUCAUGAUAAAAGUCCGUUUAGCACUAGCCUAUAUGUAACGGAAGGAUGUAACGUUAAAAAAAUGUGAACUAAUAAAGUACUUUUUGCGUGGUGUACUUUUAAAAUAAAUUUCUGGAAUUAAUAGAAAUUGGCAUGUGAAACGUAAAUCUUGUACAUAUAAUACACAAAAAGUAUAGGAAUCUGUAAGAAUCUAAGCUAUGUUAAUGUAGCAAUUAUGUAUAAGAUGGCGCUACGAAAAAAAUUAAAUAAACAUCAAAAAUUCAGGAGCGUAAUGGCCCGUUUGAAACUUUCCUUAGGAAAUUUCGGUACUUGACAAAUAUGAGUUUAUUAGGGGUCCGGACAAAUAAUCCCCGGACAAAUAAUCCCGGACAAAAAAUCCCCACAAAUUAUCCCCGGACAAAAAUCCAAGGAAAAAAAAUCCCCACAAAUAGUCUUCACAAAUAAUCCCCACAAAUAAUCCCCGGACAAACAAUCCCCACAAAAAAUCCCGGACAGAUAAUCCCCACAAUUUUUUUUGACAAAAUAUCCCCGCAAAAAAUCCCCAAGAAAUAUUUUUGCCGAAUAAAGUUGUCAAAUGAAUGCUUAUAAUCCAAGGAUGGUACUAAAGAUGAGAAAUUUAGACUGUCUGUCCGUCGGUACGUCCGACCGCGCAUAUAACUACUCCGUCAUUAUGCCAGGUAGAAUGACACAUUAGGGGUCGAAUGAACGGUUAUAAUCCAACAAUGGUACUACAGAUGAGCAAUUUGGUCCGUCGGUCUGCUUGACCACGAAUAUAACUCCUCCAUCACUGUACCAGGUAGAAUGACAAAUGAGGUGUCGAAUGAAAGCUUAUAAUCCAAGGAUGGUACUAAAGAUGAGAAAUUAGACCAAGGCUGUCUGUCCGUCGGUCCGUCCGACCGCGAAUGUAACUACUCCGUCAUUAUGCCAGGUAGAUUGACAAAUGGGGUGUCGAAUGAACGGUUAUAUUCCAACGAUGGUACUAAAGAUGAGCAAUUUGGUCCGUCGGUCUGCCUGACCGCGAAUAUAAGUCUUCCUUCACUGUACCAGGUAGAAUGACAAAUAAGGUGUCGAAUGAAAGCUUAUAACCAAGGAUGGUACUAAGGUUGAGAAAUUUGACCAAGGCUGUCUGUCCAUCGGUCCGUCCGACCGCGAAUGUAACUACUCCGUCAAUAUGCCAGGUAGAAUGACUAAUGACGUGUCGAAUGAAUGGUUAUAAUCCAACGAUGGUACUAAAGAUGAAAAAUUUGAUCCGUCGGUGUGCCUUUCCGCGAAUAUAACUCCUCCGUCACUGUACCAGGUAGAAUGACAAAUGAGGUGUCAAAUGAAAGCUUAUAAUCCAAGGAUGGUACUAAAGAUGAGAAAUUAGACCAAGGCUGUCUGUCCAUCGGUCCGUCCGACCGCGAAUGUAACUACUCCGUCAUUAUGCCAGGCAGAAUGACAGAUGAGGUGACGAGUGUACAGUGAACGGUUAUAAUCCAACCAUGGUACUCAAGAUUCACGCACGCAUUUCGUUUCCGAAAGUUGCACUUUCACGCACGACUUGCGGGAAAGUAAAAUACCUUGUAAUAUUGCAUUAUAAUAUAUUAUAAUACAUGCAAUAAACUAAUAUUGAAAGUUUGUUUUUGACAACCUUGUCAAAUAAUUGAUUUGUGUAUUUUCACUUCUAAAUAAAAAUUGAUAUAACUCUAUUUUUUUUGUGGCUUUUUCCAAACGUAGGCCCUAGAAUAAAUAUUAUUCCUAACUCGUGCGGAAAGUGUGUUCCUCGCACUCGAAUGCCUGCCCGAACUCCGCUAUCGCGUCGUUCGGGUCAACGACAGUCUCGUGCGUGAAGUUAUCACUUUCCGCACUAGUUAGGAAAAUAACUAUUUUAUGAUGUCGAUAUUUUCCAAGUUAUGGGGGGAAAUAGUGACAGUUAGAGGUUAGAGUUAGAGCAUAACUAUUGAAUUGUCUCGUUAAUUAUGAGUUUUACGACAAAAAUGUAGGUACCUAUAAUACAAAAAUAGAACUUAGUAGAUAGAAUUAACUUUUACAUAAUUUUGAAUUUUGAUCUCUUUCAUUUUUUUUACGAAUAUUUAAAAUUGUUUCAAAUAUGAUUUCCUACAAUUAUUUCUUUUUGACAAUUUUUUUCGUGCGGUUGAUAUUUUCCGAGUUAGCGGGAAUAUAUUAAAAAGGGGUGGGGGAGCAUAAUUAUUGAAUUGAAUCUUGUUUCCGAGCUGCCCCAAAUUUUAUAAUUCUAACCUUUAGGGGAGGUCAAUAGUGGUGUAAAUUUAAAAUUGCGACUGAAUUCCGCUGAAGGGUUAGCCGUCAUAUUGAUUUUAAAGGAGAACCGUUGAUGCUAAAUACCUCCACCAUUUUCAACUUUUUUGCUCUACUGCUCAUUAUUUAUAAUAGUUCCCAGGUAGCAAGACGUUUAACGCGCUCUAUCUGAAUCUGCGUUCCAUUAGUGUGCAGAUGGGUUAUAGGUAUAGAUAGGGCUAUUAUAGCAAUCGCCAUUAAACCGGUUUUUGGUACGAAAAUAGUGAUUAGCAAUUAAAUUUAAGCAUGAAUUGUAAUUUCGAUUACCAAAUAUCGAAUUCCAAUUGUGAGUUCUUUCAAAAAUCGUGCAUGCAGCACUCUGCUUUAAAUAACCCUGUUCAAAACAUCCUAUUUGUGAUGAUAAUUGCUUGUCCUGAAAACGAUAAUCUUGAUUGUAAUACAAAAAAACCUAUUCAUUUUUGUAAUUUCAAAAGUAUUUGCUCAUCAUCAUCAUCAAUGGCGUUAUAACUCUUCGAGAC